rnacentral:lncRNA from 1 species
CGAACUGGACGCGUAUUUCUCCUGCAGCGAAGGUCACGCUGCUGACAGCCUCUGCUUUGCACUUUGUCCCUGGGAAGGAGGCCUGUGGCCAGUCCUACCUCCUGGAAAGCCGGGGUGCGUCAGAGGACCUGAUGCGGAGCGGGGACCCCAUCCUCUCCGUGUCUCCCCAAGAGCCGGCGGCAGAGGCUGCCUGCGCUCCUUAAGCUAGGUCAGUUCUCUGGCCCGCAGUUCUCGUUCUCCUAACAUCCUCCGCAGAAAACGACCUUCAUUUUUUCCUCUUGCGCCAGUCUUGAAGCGGGGCGUCCUUUGGGCUCACGUUGCGGCGCCCAGCGGCCUCAAGCGUCAGCUGCCUCCAGGGCCUCAGGAGCAGUGGCUAGGGCCUGCCCUCCAGCGCCCGGGGUCCUCGGCCCAGCCCUGC